GGCAACAUGUACUAUAUAUGAGAUAAAAACUCAAAUGAAACCAUGUACUGUUGUAGGGUAAAAGACCACCUUUAUGAAUAUUGUGGAGUCAUGUAACUUAUAACAAUUAUGUUACUUUACUUUUAUUGCUUGUAUAAUCUGUGCACAACAUGUAAUACAGAUGACCAGCUGAUCAGUGGUAAAUCUAUAUCAGGAUCGACCCAUGCUAGGCUUUCCUUUCACCCCUGGGAUACCCCCUGUAAUACUGGGAUUGACCCAUGCUAGGUGAUUCUUUCACCCCUGGGAUACCACCCAUCAGAAGCAACUGUAUACAUAUAUCUUCUUAUUACUUUUGAGAUGAAUCUUUGGUGGUCGUAACAUUUGAGCUAUAAGACUAUAAGCAUGACAAAUGACAAGUAUGUGUCCAUGUAACAUCAUAUCAUAAUGAAAAGAGUGGGUUGUACAAUUAGUGAAACAUGUAGGACAUAAACAACGUAUGAACUUUAUUUAGCUAAAAAGAAGACUCAUAUGUCAUGGUACCCAAUGUAUGUAUGCAGCAGUGACAAUGCUCGAAUCUGGACACACAAGUACAUGUUAAAGAGUGGAGUGGUUAUGUCGAAGUUUGUAAAGAUCUCUAUGUGCCAAUGAAGACUUUGGAUUCCAUGCCAAAUAAUAAGAGAUCGAAUAGCCUUACAUACCUCGACAUAUCAACUUGUUUUUACGUCGAAAUGACUUCUUUUCUUCCAACUAUUUAUCUACAAUAUCAUGUUUUAAAGCUAGUAUUAGCAGCUAAUCAAUGCAUCUGGACAGCCCAAUCUCACAAGACACAACACUUUGGCAACAAACGUAUAACCAUCAACUCAAUGGUGUUAUUCCGACUUUCUCAAUUCUAACUGUAUUCAACCAGCAUAGAUUAUCAUAUACAUGAUGUAUACAGCCUAUAUUAGUUCUAUAACAUGCUGGCAACAGUCCAUAACUACAACACAUAACCAUUUUACAAAACGCUCAACUAAGAAGCACAACAUCUCGUCGUCUCCCUACAUUUCGUCGUUAACAAUUCAUACUUGUCCCAACUUUGAACCAGAUGCUCCCAACAUAUAUAUACAUCAAAUAAACCUUAACAUAGUCACAAAAUAGCUCAAAACGUAGGGGAAACGUGAAACAACAUCCCCCUCAACAAAACAGUCCAAUACCAGUUUGGAAGCACAUAAGAUCAUAUAAGGAUACUUGUUUCCAAAGAACUAGCAAAACAGUCCAGCAACCUUGGCAACCAUAUACACACUAUAACAUGUUAAUAACCUCAACUUUACAUCAUAUUAAAGUGAAAAAUCAGGGUAAAAAUCGUUCCAAAGCCAAGAAAACCAAACAACAACUUUCAGGACACAAGCUGUCCAGAAAUUCCUGCACAGUGAACCAGCCAACUUAUCUUGUUUUCCAUGGAAAAUUCAUAUCAAGUAUAUGGUUAUUUUUACAUACCUUAACUCCCAAGGUGUAGGUCUAAUUCAAGAACUCAAAAAGUAGCCUUUGGUUGCCUUCCAAGGUGAAGAAAUACCAAGAGAAACUUAGAGAGAAAUUCUGAAAUUUUUU
rnacentral:lncRNA from 1 species